rnacentral:rRNA from 1 species
UACGUAGGUGGCAAGCGUUGUUCGGAAUUACUGGGCGUAAAGGGCGCGUAGGCGGCCUGCUAAGUCGAACGUGAAAUCCCCGGGCUCAACCCGGGAACUGCGUCCGAUACUGGCUGGCUUGAAUCCGGGAGAGGGAUGCGGAAUUCCAGGUGUAGCGGUGAAAUGCGUAGAUAUCUGGAGGAACACCGGUGGCGAAGGCGGCAUCCUGGACCGGUAUUGACGCUGAUGCGCGAAAGCCAGGGGAGCAAACGGG